rnacentral:rRNA from 1 species
UGGGGAAUAUUGCACAAUGGGGGAAAUCCUGAUGCAGCGACGCCGCGUGAACGAAGAAGGUAUUCGUAUCGUAAAGUUCUGUCCUAUGGGAAGAUAAUGACAGUACCAUAGAAGAAAGCUCCGGCUAAAUACGUGCCAGCAGCCGCGGUAAUACGUAUGGAGCGAGCGUUGUCCGGAAUUAUUGGGCGUAAAGGGUACGCAGGCGGUUUAAUAAGUCGAAUGUUAAAGAUCGGGGCUCAACCCCGCAAAGCAUUGGAAACUGAUAAACUUGAGUAGUGGAGAGGAAAGUGGAAUUCCUAGUGUAGUGGUGAAAUACGUAGAUAUUAGGAGGAAUACCAGUAGCGAAGGCGACUUUCUGGACACAAACUGACGCUGAGGUACGAAAGCGUGGGGAGCAAACAGG